UCUGAAUCCUGGAUGAAGUGGACUUGAAGCAGGACAACGGUAUUUUAGGGGAUUUCUGUAUCACUGCGUCCUUCACGUUGUAGUGACCUGCAAUGGGAAAGAGAAAAAAAGACAGACAGGAAUAAAACAUUUAGAUGUGUGACACUGUAGUGUGGAGAAGUGCUCAGUGAGGUUUUCUGAGUCAGUGGUGAGGUGGUGUAGUGGUGGAGCAAUUUGAUGGUGAAAUGGUGGUGUGCUGGUGCAAUGUGGUGGUGAUGUGAAGGUAAAAUUAGGUGAAUUUGUGAAGUGGUGGUAUGGUGGUGUAAUGUGCUGGUGUAAUGUGGUGGGUAAAUGUUGUGGUAUGGUGGUGAAUGUGGUGAAUGUAGUGAUG